AUGCCCCCCCGGGCCCGUCGGCCCGCCCCCCGCCCCCCCGCGCGGCGCCCCGACUCCCGCCCCGCGGCGGCCGGCACUGCAGCACGGCGGGGGCGGGGGCGGGAGCGGGCGGGGGGGCCGCGGCGCGCCCGCCCGAGCACUUUCCCGCCCCUCCCUUCGCCGCUGACACGCUCGGCGGAGUCGCCAGUCCGCGCGCUGCCGGCGAGAGGGGCGGACGGAGGCGGCCCGGGGAGCGAGCGGGGCCGGGAUCCCGGCGGCGGGAGCGGUGAGUGGGGCCCGCGGCGGCCGUGCGGGGCGGGGAGCCGGGAGCCGGGAGCCGGGCGCCCGGCGGGAACUUCCGCAGCCUCGUGGAGCGCACGUUCGCCCGCGUGCCCCGAGGAGGCGGCUGCAGGCGCCUGGCGGGGCCCGCGGGCGCUUGCUGGGGCGGGACCGGGAGGUCGGGGUGAAGCAGAGCGGGGCCCGGGGGCCCUCCCGGGUGCUCGGCGGCCGCGGUCGCACGGGAGCCGGGGCCGGAGUCCCUUCGAGCCGCUCCAGCCCCGCCGGGCGUGCGACCGGCGUCCGCGCCGCAGCUGCGGGCUCAGCUCCCGGGCUGGAUCCCGCUGCGGGCGCGCGGCCGGUGGGGAGCAGAGGCGGGCGGCCCCGCGCCCAGCCAGCCCGACCGACACCCCGGGGUCAGGGGCCGUCGCGCGUCCGCGGGGCCGCGUCCGGGGUGUGCGCGGGCCGGGGCCGGGGCCGGGGCCGGGGGCGGAGCACAGCACCGGGAGUCCCGUGGCCGGGCCGCCCCGGGACCCGGGGCUCCCUCCCGCCGAGCGCCCCCGCGUCCCUCGGGGCCGUCGGCCGCUCCCGCUCCGCCCGGGCUCUGCGGCUGGGCCCUGCGGCUCGCGGCCGUCCUGCGGGAUGCGCAGCGCGCUGACGGACUUCGGCAGCGGUGCCCCCGGCCGGCGCACAACCCCGGCACCUGGGGCGCCCGCGGGCGGCGCGGGGGGGAGUCACGGGGGGCGGCGGCGGGAGGGGCGCUCGCGUCACCGCUGCGUGGGCCCGAGUGCGGGGCGGGGCGGGGCGGCGGGGGUCGGGGCGCGCGUGCGUCAGGGGCUGCGGGUGGCGGGGAGGCCCAGGGCGGCCGCGCGGUGCUCCGCGGGGGGGGCCCGGGGCAGGCCGGGGGGGGGGGUCCGGGGGAAGCCCGGGGAGGGGUCCGGGGGCGGCCGCGCGGUGCUCUCGGGGGGGGUCCGGGGGAGGCCGUUGGGGGGGCCCGAGGGAGGCCGGAGGUCCGGGGGAAGCCGAGGGGGGCGGUCCGGGGGAGGCCGCGAGGUACUCCGCGGGGGGGGGGGGCCGGGGGAAGCCCGGGGGAGGCCGCGAGGUGCUCCGCGGGGGGGGCCCGGGGGAGGCCGGGGGGGGGUCCGGGGGAAGCCCGAGGGGGGUCCGGGGGAGGCAGCGAGGUGCUCCGCGGGGGGGGCCCGGGGGCGGCCGCGCGGUGCUGGGGGGGCGGCGGUCCGGGGGAAGCCCGGGGGGGGGCCCGAGGGAGGCCGGGGGAAGCCCGGGGAGGGGUCCGGGGGCGGCCGCGCGGUGCUCCGCAGUGCGCAGCAGCGGGGCGCCGUGUCAGCCGCCCCCGCAGGGGCGCCGCGAUGGCCUCGGCCGCGCCCCCUCCUGAGCGCCUGGCUGGCGGCUCCAGCCGAAUUCCCGGUCUUAUCCCGGAGCAGAGCCUGCGUGGGUCUCCCGGGCCGCCAGCUCUCUCGGCACGCCCCGAAGGGCCUCGCUCCCGGGACCCGUCUGCUGUGA
rnacentral:lncRNA from 1 species